CUCAAUUUUGCAACGUCAUCUCCCUGCGACUUGUAUCUGCAACCACCACGAACGAUGGCGCUUUCUCCAGUCCAGAGAAAGGAGCAUAUGAAAGACGAGGCCAAAGAGCGAGUGAAGGGAGAAAUAGGGUCCCACAAAGGAAGAGGCUGACCGGGGCAGGGAGAAGGAGAAGGGACGCAAAGGACGUAGCUCCACUGGGAGCAGCAGUAAGGCCCUCUCCCUGUCAGAACGUAACUCUCCAGUUCUUCCAGCGGCUCCAGUUCCUCCUCUGCCUCGAGCCGCUCCAGGUCUUCCAGCUCACGAUCCUCCAGCUCCUCAGGGUCACCCAACCUCAUUCGCCGCCACAACAACAACCACCAAUGCUCACAGUCCAAGACCAGGGGUCGGUGUACACUCCGGGAAAAACGAAUCCAAAGACUGAAGGAGAGGGAUCGUUGAGCUUGGAAGUGUGACCUUUUUUGGGGAGUGGAGGAAUAAAGAGUAAGAGCUCUUCCAUUUGUCCUGUAGAUCCAAGGAGAGGCGUAGGAGGAGCCCCAGCCCCUGACCCACCAAGGUGUACCUGGGCGGCCUCACCAGAAACGUAAUCAAGGGACACAUCCAGGAGAUCUUCGGCACAUAUGGCAAGAUCAAAAUGAUUGACAUGCCUGUGGACAGGCUCCACCUACACCUGUCGAAAGGUUACACCUACAUGGAGUUUGAGACGGUCGUUGAGGCCGAGAAGGGUCUCAAACACAUGGAUGGAGGUCAAAUUGAUGGACAGGAGAUCAUAGCCCCCGCCCCCUCACAGGAUGCCUCCACAAUCGAAGUAAACUGUGGUGACGCACCCCAUCCCGCAUAAGGAGAAGGUCUCGGUCACCACGGAUACAAUCUCCGGUUCGCCGCAGAACUCGCUUGCGCUCCCCCGGUUGCAGACGCCACAGCUCACGCGCCAGCUCGAACUCCUCCAGGUAGAGCUGCCUGGAACCCCUGACCUCACAGCUCCCCUCCUCCCUCAUUUUCCAUUUCUUCAUAGGAAAAUUUUGCAUCGAAAGUUCUACCCAGCUUCCUAUCCGUGUGUCCUUCCCUCUGAUCACUGACCUCACAAGAAAAAACAUGACUAUUGAGACAGCCUUUCUCUCACCAUAGUAUAUUUUUAUUGGUCUGUAAGCAUAAUAAUAGUUGCUAGGAUCAAUCUGAGGCAAGCUAGCACUGUCAAGAGGAGUGAAAUGACCCCCCCCCAAGCCAUUGUGAUUUGUCCUAAAGAGCUAAAUGGUGGUUGACAGAAUUCUAAUUUUUGUGGAACUUUUAUAGUUUUAUACAUUGAGUGUUUUUUGUUUUCAUAUGCAACUAUUAAAACUUUUUUAGUUUGAGUCCA